rnacentral:lncRNA from 1 species
AUGGCCCUGUCAGGCCCAGCUCUGGAUGCGCUCUCCUUGAUAAGCCAAGUGGCAGGAGCUCGGCGGGGGCGGAAUUCAUCAUUGUGUCUUCUGUGUUUUCCACCAGCCAACUGCUUCCCAGGAGGUUGUGAGCUGAGCCAAAGCAAACUGGCAGGACAGCAAAGGUCCCAGGACGCUUUGUCUGUGGAGCCAAGACCAUUCCCUGGAGCUGGGUGCCGGCCUCCUGCCCCACAGGCCUCAUUCUCACGUCUUUCAGGCAGGGAGGGGGCUCGGUGAGAUGCCACAGAGGAGAGAGAGCGGCAUGGGGUCGUGCAACAUGCAAGAACAGGACCAAGGGGCAGCUUUGGGCCCCUGCACAUUGUAUGCAAAUCCUGAACUUUUGGGUUGGCCAAAAUAUUCCUUCAGGUUUCUCCAUAAGAUAGUAUGGAAAAAUCCAAAUGAACUUUUUGGCCAACCCAAUACUUUGUGAAGGAAAGAAAGCCCUUGUGAAAAAUGGUGGAACCUGAGUCUUUCUGUUUAGAAAUUCCACAGUCUGGUGUUCCAGGUGGUAGAGGACUAACUCUCCAGUCAUCAUGACCCUGAUCCGCUCCCCGCCCUAGUCAACAGCCUCUAACAGCUUCCAACAGCCUGGCCCCAUAAAGUGCAAACUAUCAUUCAGGACCCUUCAUGGACUGGCCGCAGCUUUAUCUCCCUCCCAGCCUAGAAUCACCCUCUUUCUGCUCUCCACCUUCAUCGUCUUUUAUCUGCACCCUCCUAGCAUACUUAUCACUUUCCACUGCAUAUUAUACUUGUUUUUAUGGGUCUUAUCACUCCUACUGGUCUAGUCUAUGAACCCCUUAAGGGCAGGGCCUAUGCUUAUCUUUGUACCCUGAGUUCUUAAAACGGUACAGGAUGUUGUGGGGUGCUCAGUAAAAAUUGUUGAAUUAAACCAAAAACCCUCCCCAAUGGCUGAGCUCAGCUUGAGAGACACAGCAAUGCUUCAAAUUUCCCAGUGUCCCAUGAGCAGGAAGGACACCUCCAGGCUAGCUUGGUGGAGAGCAUUUUAGACAGAAAUCUCAAGGCCCAAUCCUUCCCUUGCAUUUAACUUCUAAAAUUUAACAAUUUUAUUUUCAUUAAUUUUGGCAAUGCCACUGGGCAUGUGGGAUCUUAGUUCCCCAACCAGGGAUCGAACCCAAGCCUUGUGCAUUGGAAGUCUUAACUGCUGGACCACCAGAGAAAUCCCUCCCUUGCAUUUUAGAGAUCCAAGUACUGGGCUAGGGAUGGUGGAUAGUUUUCA